GUGCGUGGAAUGCUCUGGAGAAGAACAAAGGGGUGUAAACCCUAGUUCUUAAAGAAGUUCCAAAUUGAAGGUUGAAUCGAAGCUCAAAAUCAUGAAUAAACACGGAUUAAUGCUCACCAUCACAAGAGGAUCAAAAGGAUAGGAAUCACAUUAGCAUGGACUCAAGAACGGAAGGUUAACGGGUCAAGCGGAGGCGAGGAAUCAAGCAUGAACACUAACGCUUAAGGUACUAUAUUGAAGUUUCGUCAAGGAUUAGACACCCGAAUGGAAUGAAUAAUUCUAGAAGGAUGAUGUGAUGGAAAGUAAAUGUGGAUAGAACGUAACGAGGUUACAU